rnacentral:rRNA from 1 species
AUACGGAGGGGGUUAGCGUUGUUCGGAAUUACUGGGCGUAAAGCGUACGUAGGCGGAUUAGUAAGUUGGGGGUGAAAUCCCGAGGCUCAACCUCGGAACUGCCUCUAAAACUGCUAGUCUUGAGUUCGAGAGAGGUGAGUGGAAUUCCUAGUGUAGAGGUGAAAUUCGUAGAUAUUAGGAGGAACACCAGUGGCGAAGGCGGCUCACUGGCUCGAUACUGACGCUGAGGUACGAAAGUGUGGGGAGCAAACAGGAUUAGAAACCCCAGUAGUCC